UUUAAAGGUCCCUGAGGGAUUCGACUACGAGCUCUAUAACCAUGAUGACAUCAAUCGGAUCUUAGGUCCCAAAGCGUCUUGCAUCUUCUUCAAGGACUCUCCACCAAUAGAAGAAUCUCCCAAUCUUCAAGAUCUGUCGAUAUGGACAGGGGGAUGACAAGAGAAGCUGGGGAUAAGGGAGGGAUGGGAAGGGCCAAAGAGCCAUGGGAGGAGGUGAGAAUCUCCUCCAACUCUUUGAAUAGGCGCUCAAGCUCGAUAACAGUCAUUUCAAGGCCAAAACUGGGAGGGAUGAUUUGGUCAGGUGAGAAGGUGAUUAGGAGGGAAAUGACAGACCCUUUUUGUUGCUACUUGGAGCUAGCUUUUACUGUAAAGACAGUAACAGAAGGGGGUCAGAUGUGAGAUGUGUUGAUGCCACUUUGAUGAGUGGAGCUCAACCUGAUGGUGGAAUCUGAAGGCAGAGUGCCAUCAAAGCAGCAUCGAGGAAUAACAGAAAAGGAUAUUUAGCAGAUCUUGCCAAGUGCCAACUGCAAUGGAGUCAUAGAAUUGUCAUUGGUUCUUUUAUGUUUGUCAAAAAGGACUAGCAGAUCUUAGCUAUAUUUAUUCUCAAAGGUUUAAUUUUCUUAUGGUUCUACUUCUUGUGGGAAUGUAAGAGGAAAUAUAAAAUGUUCAAUUGACAUUUGCUUGGCCCUAUAAAUGUGGGAUCCACCUUAGGUGGUCUAAAUAGUUCA